ACUCCUACGGGAGGCAGCAGUAGGAAUAUUGGUCAAUGGGUGAGAGCCUGAACCAGCCAUGCCGCGUGCAGGAAGACGGCCUUCUGGGUUGUAAACUGCUUUUACCAGGGGAUAAAACGACUCUGCGGAGUUAAUUGAAGGUACCUGGAGAAUAAGCACCGGCUAACUACGUGCCAGCAGCCGCGGUAAUACGUAGGGUGCAAGCGUUGUCCGGAUUUAUUGGGUUUAAAGGUGCGUAGGCGGGCUAUUAAGUCAGUGGUGAAAUCCCAUCGCUUAACGAUGGAACUGCCAUUGAUACUGUUAGUCUUGAAUGAGGGUGCAGUGGUUGGAAUGUGUAGUGUAGCGGUGAAAUGCAUAGAUAUUACACAGAACACCGAUUGCGAAGGCAGAUCACUAACCCUAAAUUGACGCUGAGGGACGAAAGCGUGGGGAGCGAACAGGAUUAGAUACCCUGUAGGCUCUG
rnacentral:rRNA from 1 species